rnacentral:lncRNA from 1 species
AUGGGGACGUCGGCCUCCCCCACCCGCACCCCGUCUCCCCAUGGAUGGCCUCGGCGAGAGGGAGGCGGGCACUUGGAGCGGGUGCGGCAAGGACCCCAGCCGUGGGCAGCUGAGACUUUGGUGGAGGGCAGGGGUCCCGCAGAGGGGGAGCGCGGGGAGACCGCGGGCAGCGCGAGCCCAGCGCUGGGCAUCAGUGCACAGGCACCUCUCCCCCUCCCCCGCUGGGGGACUUGCUCCUGCUUGCUCCCUCGCUCUCCCUGCCUCUGGGGACGGGGUCUUCCCGCCCUGCCCAUCCUGCUUGGAGGAGAAGUCUACGCAAUUGACAUCCCAGCCCAAUUGACACCCCAGCCCGGCUGGGCGCCCCCAGGGAGAGAGCCACGUUGCACACACUGUAAGAAAUGCACUUUCCCAGGGCGGGGCGGGGCUGGCCGCGGGGAGGGGGAGGUGCCCGUGGGAGGGGAGGGCUGCCCCCUCCAGGUAGCCCCUGGGGAGGAGGGGCCAGGCACUGGACGACUAGGAGGGGAGCAGGGACCAGCCUUGGUGGGCUGCAAGGGGAGUGGGGCCUGGCCCUGGAGCGUGAGGUGGGGAACAGGGCCUAUGCCCUGAAGGGCAGUGUUGCCCUUCCUGAGGGGAGUGUGGCCAAGCCCAAGAGGGCAAGGAGGGAGUCGGGCCUGGCCCUGGAGGGUGAGGAGGGGAGCAGGGACUGGCCUUUUAGGUUGAGGAUGGGAGAGGCCCUGGCUCUGGAGGGCAAGGUAGGGACCAGGGUUUUGCACUGGAGGGUGGCAGGGGGAGCAGGGCCCGGCCCUUUUUGGCAGCAAGAGGAGCGGGGCCUGGCCCUGGAGGGUAAGGAGGGCAGUGGGGCUCAGGCCCUGGAGAGUAAGGAGGGAAUGGGGCACAGGCCCUGUAGGGCGAGGAGGGGACUAGGGCCUAUGCUCUAGAGGGCAGUGAUGGCCAUGCCUGAGGGGAGUGGGGCCUGACCCUGGAGGGUGAGGAGGGUAGGGGAGCCUAGCCCGGAUGGUAAGGAGGGGUGCCGGGCCUGGCCCUGGAGGGCAAGGAAGGCAGCAGGAAAGGCCCUGGAGGGCGAGGAGGGGAGCAGGGUCAGGCCCUAGAAGGCAGUGAGGUGAGCAGGGCCCAUGUCCAGGAGGGUAGUGAUGGCCACGACUGAGGGGAAUGGGGCCUUACCCUAGAGGGC